UCGAGCGGCAGCGACAACAUUGACCCUUCGGGGGAUUUGUUGGGCGGCGAGCGGCGGACGGGUGAGUAAUGCCUGGGAACAUGCCUUAGUGUGGGGGAUAACCAUUGGAAACGAUGGCUAAUACCGCAUAAUCUCUACGGAGCAAAGAGGGGGACCUUCGGGCCUCUCGCGCUAAGAUUGGCCCAGGUGGGAUUAGCUAGUAGGUGGGGUAACGGCUCACCUAGGCGACGAUCCCUAGCUGGUCUGAGAGGAUGAUCAGCCACACUGGAACUGAGACACGGUCCAGACUCCUACGGGAGGCAGCAGUGGGGAAUAUUGCACAAUGGGGGAAACCCUGAUGCAGCCAUGCCGCGUGUGUGAAGAAGGCCUUCGGGUUGUAAAGCACUUUCAGCAGUGAGGAAGGCGGUAUCGUUAAUAGCGGUAUUGUUUGACGUUAGCUGCAGAAGAAGCACCGGCUAACUCCGUGCCAGCAGCCGCGGUAAUACGGAGGGUGCGAGCGUUAAUCGGAAUUACUGGGCGUAAAGCGCAUGCAGGCGGCUUGUUAAGCCAGAUGUGAAAGCCCGGGGCUCAACCUCGGAAUCGCAUUUGGAACUGGCAGGCUAGAGUCUUGUAGAGGGGGGUAGAAUUUCAGGUGUAGCGGUGAAAUGCGUAGAGAUCUGAAGGAAUACCGGUGGCGAAGGCGGCCCCCUGGACAAAGACUGACGCUCAGAUGCGAAAGCGUGGGGGAGCAAAC
rnacentral:rRNA from 1 species